ensembl:lncRNA
UUUUUUUUUUUUGAGACGGAGUUUCGGUCUUGUUGCCCAGGCUGGAGUGCACUGGCGUGAUCCCAGCUCACCGCAACCUCUGCCUCCCGGGUUCAAGCGAUUCUCCUGCCUCAGUCUCCUGAGUAGCUGGGAUUACAGGUUCCUGCCACCACGCCCGGCUAAUUUUGUAUCUUUAGUAGAGACGGGGUUUCUCCAUGUUAGUGAGGCUGGCCUCGAACUAGCAACUUCAGGUGAUCCGCCCACCUCCCAUCACAGGCCUGAGCCACCGCUCCCGGCCCGCCUGCACUUUCCCGGGCGGCCGCACAGGGCGGUGGGAGCAGCCUCGGCCUGCUCCGGCGCUGCGGCCACGUCUUGUGGGCUGGGGUCCCCUGGGGUCAGGUGAAGGUCGCUGGGGAUGGAGGCCCCCUGGCUGGGGUCUCCUGGCCGUCGUGGAGCUGUGCGACCCUCCAGGACCUGGGACAAGUCACCCAAUCUCUGAGCCUGGCUUCCUUCCAUCACAUGGGCAGAGGCCGCCUACCUAGCAGGCCUGGCUGGAGCCUGGGAGUCCCAGUGGGGGCUACCUCUGUUCCUUGGUCUACACUGAGACCUGGAUCUCCGUCCACAAGAGGGAUCUGGAAGGAAUGCUGGCUGGGCCCCCACUCACAGCUGCCGUCAGCGAGUCGUGGGAACCUCACCUUGCAAACGUGCUGGAAUCCACCCAUCUGUUCCUCCAAGGCCCCAACUCUGGUUCUGUUUCCCCUUGUGGCUUGCUUACCCCUCUGGGCACACUGACACCCCUUAGGCUCCCGGCCCUCAAGAGCCCUGCACCACCAGGACCCUCCCCCAGCCUCUGGGCCUCUGCACAGCUGCUCCUCACCUUGCCCAGGUUCUGCCCACGCCUUCCCCCCACCCUCCUCCGCUGCGGUUCCCAGGGUGCUCCCCUCCAAGCUCAACGAGGGCCUGCGGUGGCAGUCGUGAUGGCUGGCUCCCCUCCACCUGGGGGCCCGUCCCUGUGACCCUGGAACCCACGUACCGCAGGCACGCAGGAAUAAAAUGAUGGAGCAUUCCUGCUGACUUCAGGGUCUGUUUGUGCCUCAGUUUCCCUGGCCCUGAAAUAAAAAGAAGCAGUCCAUGGGGUUCCAAGCAUUGCCAAUCGGCUUACCUGUCAGAGGAGGGAAACUGAGGCCCAGAGGAGGGGCUGGGAUCAGAGGAGGGAAACUGAGGCCCAGGGGCGGGGCUGGGAUCAGGGGAGGGAAACUGAGAUCCAGGGGAGGGCCUGGGUGCAAAGGAGGGAAACUGAGGCCUAGGGGAGGGGCUGGGUGCAGAGGAAGCAAAAUAAGGAUCGGGGAGGGGCUGGGUGCUAAGGAGGGAAACUGAGGGUCAGAGGAGGGGCUGAGUGCAAAGGAGAGAAACUGAGGCCUAGAGGAGGGAAACUGAGGCCCAGGGUGGGGAAACAGGUCCCUGGGAGGUUAGCUCACGGCCCUGUCUCCUGGGUCCCAUCCCCCUCCUGCCCAGGCCGGUGCCGGGAAAGGCCUCACCGGAAGGCAGACUCCAAGGAGAGGCCCUCCCCAGGCCGGAGGUGCAGGCCCUUCCCGGGAAGCUGGGCCCUUAACCCGGGCGGGGGGCAGCAGGCCUG